rnacentral:rRNA from 1 species
GUGCAGCAGUCGCGAAAACUCUGCAAUACGCGAAAGCGUGACAGGGCUACCCCGAGUGUCGUCCGCUGAGGACGACUUUUCACGCUGUAAGGAGGCGUGGGAAUAAGGAGAGGGCAAGUCUGGUGUCAGCCGCCGCGGUAAUACCAGCUCUCCGAGUGGUAGGGACGUUUAUUGGGCUUAAAGCGUCCGUAGCCGGCUCAACAAGUCUCCCGUUAAAUCCAACGAUUCAAUCGUUGGACUGCGGGAGAUACUGCUGGGCUAGGAGGCGAGAGAGGCCGACGGUAUUCCCGGAGUAGGGGUGAAAUCUUAUAAUUCCGGGAGGACCACCAGUGGCGAAGGCUGUCGGCUAGAACGCGCUCGACGGUGAGGGACGAAGCCCUGGGGCGCAAACGGGAUUAGAUACCCGGGAGUCC